AACGAACGCUGGCGGCAGGCCUAACACAUGCAAGUCGAGCGAAGCCUUCGGGCUUAGCGGCGGACGGGUGAGUAACGCGUGGGAACGUGCCCUUUGGUACGGAAUAGCCCCGGGAAACUGGGAGUAAUACCGUAUGUGCCCUUCGGGGGAAAGAUUUAUCGCCAAAGGAUCGGCCCGCGUUGGAUUAGGUAGUUGGUGGGGUAAUGGCCUACCAAGCCGACGAUCCAUAGCUGGUUUGAGAGGAUGAUCAGCCACACUGGGACUGAGACACGGCCCAGACUCCUACGGGAGGCAGCAGUGGGGAAUCUUAGACAAUGGGGGAAACCCUGAUCUAGCCAUGCCGCGUGAUCGAUGAAGGCCUUAGGGUUGUAAAGAUCUUUCAGUGGGGAAGAUAAUGACUGUACCCACAGAAGAAGCUCCGGCUAACUCCGCGCCAGCCGCCGCAGUAAAAC
rnacentral:rRNA from 1 species